UACGUAGGGUGCAAGCGUUAAUCGGAAUUACUGGGCGUAAAGCGUGCGCAGGCGGUUCUAUAAGACAGAUGUGAAAUCCCCGGGCUCAACCUGGGAACUGCAUUUGUGACUGUAGAGCUGGAGUGCGGCAGAGGGGGAUGGAAUUCCGCGUGUAGCAGUGAAAUGCGUAGAGAUGCGGAGGAACACCGAUGGCGAAGGCAGCCCCCUGGGCUAACACUGACGCUCAGGCACGAAAGCGUGGGGAGCAAACAGG
rnacentral:rRNA from 1 species